rnacentral:lncRNA from 1 species
GAUCAGGUCCCCCCAGGUCAUUAUGAUCUAGGAUCAGGUCCCCCAGGUCAUUAUGAUCUAGGAUCAGGUCUCCCAGGUCAUUAUGAUCUAGGAUCAGGUCUCCCAGGUCAUUAUGAUCUAGGAUCAGGUCUCCCAGGUCAUUAUGAUCUAGGAUCAGGUCCCCCAGGUCAUUAUGAUCUAGGAUCAGGUCCCAUAUGUCAUUAUGAUCUAGGAUCAGGUCUCCCAGGUCAUUAUGAUCUAGGAUCAGGUCCCCCAGGUCAUUAUGAUCUAGGAUCAGGUCCCUCAGGUCAUUAUGAUCUAGGAUCAGGUCCCCCAGGUCAUUAUGAUCUUCUCCCCAGCCACCAGAGUUCCUCCUCUUCCUCCUCCUCUCCCCAGCCAGAGUUCCUCCUCCUCUUCCCCCUAGCCACCAGAGUUCCUCCUCUUCCUCCUCCUCCUCUCCCCAGCCACCAGAGUUCCUCCUCCUCCUCUUCCCAGCCACCAGAGUUCCUCCUCCUCCUCCUCCUCUUCUCCCCAGCCACCAGAGUUCCUCCUCUCCCUCCUCCUCUCCCCAGCCACCAGAGUUCCUCCUCCUCUUCCUCUUCCCCCUAGCCACCAGAGUUCCUCCUCUUCCUCCUCCUCCUCUCCCCAGCCACCAGAGUUCCUCCUCCUCCUCCUCCUCCUCUUCUCCCCAGCCACCAGAGUUCCUCCUCUCCCUCCUCCUCUCCCCAGCCACCAGAGUUCCUCCUACUCUUCUCUCCGGCCACCAGGUUUCAGGUAAUCAGGUGAUGAGUUGUGGCUCCCAGACCUGACUGGCCAGCUGGGGCCGACACUGAGUGAUGGCAGGAGGGCCAACAGACAGCUGACUGUCAAGACACAGACCACUAACCACGUGCUGCAGGGUCGGCCCUUUUACCUUCCACUUCUACAGGAGGGGCAGAAAGAUGGGCAGGGAGGGGUGAGAGGAGGGAGGGAGGGGUGAGAGGAGGGAGGGAGGGAGGGGGGAGGGAGGGGUGAGAGGAGGGAGGGAGGGGUGAGAGGAGGGAGGGAGGGGUGAGAGGGGGGAGGGAGGGGUGAGAGGGGGGAGGGAGGGGUGAGAGGAGGGAGGGGUGAGAGGAGGGAGGGAGGGGUGAGAGGGGGGAGGGAGGGGUGAGAGGGGGG